rnacentral:rRNA from 1 species
UACGUAGGGUGCAAGCGUUAUCCGGAAUUAUUGGGCGUAAAGAGCUCGUAGGCGGUUUGUCGCGUCUGCUGUGAAAACUCGGGGCUUAACUCCGGGCCUGCAGUGGGUACGGGCAGACUAGAGUGCGGUAGGGGAGACUGGAAUUCCUGGUGUAGCGGUGAAAUGCGCAGAUAUCAGGAGGAACACCGAUGGCGAAGGCAGGUCUCUGGGCAUUAACUGACGCUGAGGAGCGAAAGCAUGGGGAGCGAACAGG